UCAGGACGAACGCUGGCGGCGCGCUUCAUACAUGCAAGUCGAACGUGAAGCCCGGAGCUUGCUCUGGGUGGAAAGUGGCGAACGGGUGAGGAACACGUGAGGAACCUGCCCCGAAGACCGGGAUAACACCGGGAAACCGGUGCUAAUACCGGAUGCCCUCAUCGGAGCUCAUGCUCCGAUGAGGAAAUGGAUUCCGCUUCGGGAUGGCCUCGCGGCCUAUCAGCUUGUUGGUGGGGUAACGGCCCACCAAGGCUUCGACGGGUAGCUGGUCUGAGAGGAUGUCCAGCCACACUGGGACUGAGACACGGCCCAGACUCCUACGGGAGGCAGCAGUAGGGAAUCUUGCGCGAUGAGCGAAAGCUUGACGCAGCGACGCCGCGUGCGGGAUGAAGGCCCUCGGGUCGUAAACCGCUUUCAGCAGGGACGAAACUGACGGUACCUGCAGAAGAAGCCCCGGCCAACUACGUGCCAGCAGCCGCGGUAAUACGUAAGGGGCAAGCGUUGUCCGGAUUUAUUGGGCGUAAAGAGCUCGUAGGCGGUUCGACAAGCCGACGGUGAAAUCUCCACGCUCAACGUGGAGGGGUCCGUCGGAACUGUCGUGACUAGAGUCCGGUAGGGGAGUGUGGAAUUUCCGGUGUAGCGGUGAAAUGCGCAGAGAUCGGAAGGAACGCCCGUAGCGAAGGCGGCACUCUGGGCCGGUACAGACGCUGAGGAGCGAAAGCGUGGGGAGCAAACAGGAUUAGGUACCCUGGUAGUCCACGCCGUAAACGUUGGGCACUAGGUGUGGGGCUCUAUCAACGGGCUCCGUGCCGUAGCUAACGCAUUAAGUGCCCCGCCUGGGGAGUACGGCCGCAAGGCUAAAACUCAAAUGAAUUGACGG
rnacentral:rRNA from 1 species